GGGUUGUACACUUCUUUUAUAAAGGAAUAAAGUCGGGUAUGCAUACCCGUUUGCAUGUAUUUUAUGAAUAAGGAUCGGCUAACUCUGUGCCAGCAGCCGCGGUAAUACGGAGGAUCCGAGCGUUAUCCGGAUUUAUUGGGUUUAAAGGGAGCGUAGAUGGAUGUUUAAGUCAGUUGUGAAAGUUUGCGGCUCAACCGUAAAAUUGCAGUUGAUACUGGAUGUCUUGAGUGCAGUUGAGGCAGGCGGAAUUCGUGGUGUAGCGGUGAAAUGCUUAGAUAUCACGAAGAACUCCGAUUGCGAAGGCAGCCUGCUAAGCUGCAACUGACAUUGAGGCUCGAAAGUGUGGGUAUCAAACAGGAUUAGAUACCCUGGUAGUCCACACGGUAAA
rnacentral:rRNA from 1 species